AGGUGUCUCUUGAUGCAGGGUAUUGUAGAAUCACUAUUCUGGCUCCAAGGGCCUGCUGUAAGUUUGCUAGUCAGGAUCUUUCACUGGUAUAAUAAAGCAAAGAAACCAUGAUAGAUAAAAGUUGGACAGAGGAGCCCGACAAAUUGAGUAAAAAGUUUCGGUCAGGUGUGGAUUCCUUUAUUGAGAUGACCAAAAAUCAUCUCAUAAGAAUCAAAAAGGACAAGUGUCGAUGCCCUUGUAAACAAUGCUUGAAUGGAAACGACCCAGUUUCGUUAGAUUUGGUCAAGAAUCAUUUGCUUAAAUAUGGAAUGGCAGUCAGUUAUAGAUAUACAAUAUGGUAUGAUCAUGGAGAAGAAGACAACCCUGCACAAGAUCAGUCAGCGUCAAGUUCUGUCAAUGUCCAUAAUGAUGAAACAACUUUUAUUGGGAAUGAAAAUGAGGCUAUACUUGAGAUGUUACGUGAAAAUGUUGAAUCCUUAACUUCUGAUGGGAAGGAUGGAGGGGAGAAAACUAGUGAAGCUGAUUUAGCCAUAUUUUCCGCAUUAUUAGAUGAAGCUAAGCAAGAUCUAUAUCCUAGUUGUAAGGACUUUACGUCGUUAACAUUCUUGGUAAGGUUAAUGCAUAUCAAAGUUAUUAACCGCCUGAGUAAUAAAAGUUCCGAGAUGCAUCUGGAGUUACUUAAAAAAUCUUUUCCAAAGAACAACAACAUUCCCAGUUCAUAUUAUGAAGCUAAAAGAAUGUUGAAGGGUUUAGGAUUGGGUUAUGAGUCAAUUCAUGUUUGUAAAAACGAUUGUGCUUUAUUCUGGAAGGAGUAUGAAAAGGAAGACAAAUGUCCGGUAUGCCGUGAAUCUAGAUAGAAGUUUAAUGACGGUAAAGGUAAGAAGAUCCCACACAAGGUGCUGCGUUAUUUUCCUUUAAAACCAAGACUACAGAGACUUUUUUCGUCAAAACACACAGCUUGUGACAUGAGAUGGCAUAAGGGAAGACAUGUCGAAGGUGGUGUUUUAAGGCAUCCAGCUGAUGCUGAAGCAUGGAAGGAUUUUGAUGCGCGGUAUCCAUGGUUUGCGGCAGAACCUCGUAAUUUGAGGUUGGGUCUUUCUACUGAUGGGUUUAAUCCUUUUGGAAAUAUGAGCAAUGCGUAUAGCUUAUGGUCAGUGGUGUUGAUGCCGUACAACCUCCCUCCUUUUAAGUGCAUGAAGCAACCUUUUUUCAUGAUGUCGUUACUUAUUUCUGGACCGCAAGCACCUGACAAUGACAUUGAUGCGAAUUUGCGCCCUUUAAUCGAUGAGUUAAAAGAGCUGUGGGAUGUCGGUGUGGAAACUCGUGAUGUCUCGACAGGAAAAGUUUUUUGUAUGUGUGCAGCUGUGUUAUGGACCAUAAAUGACUUCCCGGCAUACGCUAAUUUAUCUUGUUGGAGUACAAAAGAGUAUCUCGCCUGUCCCGUGUGUAAUGAUGAUCCGCCUUCACGGAAACUGAGAAGCAAGAUAGGUUAUUUGUGUCACCGACGGUUCUUGAAUCCUGGUCAUACCUGGUGAGAUAGAAGACUUCAUGAUGGACAUAAAAAAAAACGGGAUCCACCGGAAGAGAAAACAGGGGAUCAACUGUUGCAGCAAAUGCAGAAUCUUGGGAUCAAUCGUUUCGGAAAACAUCCGAGUUACUCAACUAAGAAAAGAAAGUGUUCCUAGGAAGAACUGAGCUGGACGAAGAAGAGUAUCUUCUACGAGCUUCCAUAUUGGAAACAUCUCAAAAUCAUACAUAAGAUUGAUGUUAUGCAUGUGGAGAAGAAUAUAUGUGAUAACAUUGUAGGAACGAUGUUAGGUAUUGAUGGAAAAAACAAGGAUACAGAGAAAGCUCGGUUAGAUUUGGAAGAUAUGAACAUUAGGAAAGAAUUGCAUCUACGACCUAAGGGAGAUAAAUUCGAAGACCCCCAGCAUGUUAUACAUUAAAACCAGAACAAAGAAGAGAUUUUUGUAAGUUUUUGAAGUCGGUGAAGUUCCCAGAUGGUUAUGCGGCUAACAUAUCGAGGUGUGCUAACAUUGCUGAUGGAAAGAUACAUGGUCUGAAAAGCCAUGACUGCUACAUCUUGUUACAAAGACUUCUUCCUGUUGGAAUUCGUGCUUAUCUUCGCAAAGAUGUGUGUAUUGCCAUAAUUGAAUUGUGUAACUUCUUUCAUGAUUUAUGUGCAAAGACUUUGACUGUGAGUCACCUGGAUAAAUUAGAAAAGGAUAUUGUAUUGAUCCUUUGUAAGUUGGAGCAAAUAUUCCCACCGGCAUUUUUUGAUGUGAUGGUUCAUUUGGCUGUUCACUUUCCACGGGAAGCAAAACUUGUUGGACCGGUUGGAUAUAGUUGGAUGUAUCCAAUGGAAAGGUACCUAGGAACACUUAAACGCUACGUGGGAAAUAAAGCGCGCCCAGAAGGUUCAAUUACAGAGGCUACAUCAUUAAUGAAUGCUUGACAUUCAUAUCGAUGCACUUCACCGAAACUGAAAGUAAAUUUAAUAGGAAAGAACGAAAUGAUGAUGAAUUAGAUGGUAGUCUACGACGCCAAGGAACAAUAUUUUUUUUCGCUCAAAAAGUCCACCCAACUGGCGCUACAGAAAUAAAGUCAUUGUCACCAGAAGAACGAGAUCAGAUACAUCGGUACAUCCUUAACAAUUGUGAAGAGGUGCAUCCUUACAUGAAGGAACACUUGAAGAAGUUGAAAGAAGAGACGAAUAAUGAUAACUUGUUGUCACAACGGAAGUGUGACUGGUUCGAUUUGACUUGAGGUAGAAUACCUGAACAAUUAUAGGGUUGUGUUAUUCAAGUGUGACUGGUUCGAUUUGACUCCACGGAAGAAAAAUCUUAAAACAUAUUAUGAUUUGACAUGUUUAAAUGUGAGUAGUACGUGGUAUAAUAAAGACCCAUAUGUUAUCGCAUCGGACGCGCGGCAAGUGUUCUACCUGGAUGAUCAUAAAUUCGGAACAUACUGGAAAGUGGUUCUAAAGAUGCAUCACAGACAUAUAUGGGAUGUUCCUGAAAUGGAUGAUGAUGAUGAUGAUGAUGAAGAAGAAGAGGAAGAAGAAGAAGAUGUUUAUCAACAAACUGGAGAUGUAACGGUAUUAUCAGUCAUACAAGAAGAUAAUAAUGUUGGACUAGAUGAACUCCAUAGAGAUGAUGUGGAGGCAGAGUUGGUAGAUGCAGAGAUUGUAUGUGCAGUUGAUAUUGACGUGGAUGAUGUUGAUGUCGAGGAAGAAGAUGAGACAUUGGUUGAUUAUAAUGACUCAGAGGUGGAUGAGGAAGACAUUGAGCCAGUUGACAAUGAUACAGAUUUAGAGGAUUAGUUAUUUGCAUUUUAUUUACUUAAAAAUAGUUGUUUGGUUUGAUAAUUAUUUUGAUGAGAACAACAGCUCUCUAUCUUUCAAUGAUUCAGAGAUUUUUUUUUCUUUUGAACAAAGGGAUUGGUUAUUUUAGUUGUUGGUUGGAUUUCAAUAUUCUGUCUCAAAUUCAAUUUUUUU